GAUGAACGCUGGCGGCGUGCCUAAUACAUGCAAGUCGAGCGAACGGACGAGAAGCUUGCUUCUCUGAUGUUAGCGGCGGACGGGUGAGUAACACGUGGAUAACCUACCUAUAAGACUGGGAUAACUUCGGGAAACCAGAGCUAAUACCGGAUAAUAUUUUGAACCGCAUGGUUCAAAAGUGAAAGACGGUCUUGCUGUCACUUAUAGAUGGAUCCGCGCUGCAUUGGCUAGUUGGUAAGGUAACGGCUUACCAAGGCAACGAUGCAUAGCCGACCUGAGAGGGUGAUCGGCCACACUGGAACUGAGACACGGUCCAGACUCCUACGGGAGGCAGCAGUAGGGAAUCUUCCGCAAUGGGCGAAAGCCUGACGGAGCAACGCCGCGUGAGUGAUGAAGGUCUUCGGAUCGUAAAACUCUGUUAUUAGGGAAGAACAUAUGUGUAAGUAACUGUGCACAUCUUGACGGUACCUAAUCAGAAAGCCACGGCUAACUACGUG
rnacentral:rRNA from 1 species